rnacentral:rRNA from 1 species
GACGAACGCUGGCGGCGUGCUUAACACAUGCAAGUCGAACGGAAAGGCCCUGCUUUUGUGGGGGGCUCGAGUGGCGAACGGGUGAGUAACACGUGAGUAACCUGCCCUGGACUUUGGGAUAACUUCAGGAAACUGGGGCUAAUACCGGAUAGGAGCGCCUGCUGCAUGGUGGGGGUCGGAAAUUUUCGUCGUGUGGGGAUGGACUCGCGGCUUAUCAGCUGGUGGGGGGGGUAGUGGCUUACCAAGGCUUUGACGGGUGGCCGGCCUGAGAGGGUGACCGGGCACAUUGGGACUGAGAUACGGCCCAGACUCCUACGGGAGGCAGCAGUGGGGAAUAUUGCACAAUGGGCGGAAGCCUGAUGCAGCAGCGCCGCGUGCGGGAUGACGGCCUUCGGGUUGUAAAACGCUUUCGCCUGUGACGAAGCGUGAGUGACGGUAAUGGGUAAAGAAGCACCGGCUAACUACGUG